ACGAGAGAGAGGGAGCUUGCUUCCUUGAUCGAGUGGCGAACGGGUGAGUAACGCGUGAGGAACCUGCCUCAAAGAGGGGGACAACAGUUGGAAACGACUGCUAAUACCGCAUAAGCCCACGGCUCGGCAUCGAGCAGAGGGAAAAGGAGCAAUCCGCUUUGAGAUGGCCUCGCGUCCGAUUAGCUAGUUGGUGAGGUAAUGGCCCACCAAGGCGACGAUCGGUAGCCGGACUGAGAGGUUGAACGGCCACAUUGGGACUGAGACACGGCCCAGACUCCUACGGGAGGCAGCAGUGGGGAAUAUUGCACAAUGGGGGAAACCCUGAUGCAGCGACGCCGCGUGGAGGAAGAAGGUCUUCGGAUUGUAAACUCCUGUUGUUGAGGAAGAUAAUGACGGUACUCAACAAGGAAGUGACGGCUAACUACGUGCCAGCAGCCGCGGUAAAACGUAGGUCACAAGCGUUGUCCGGAAUUACUGGGUGUAAAGGGAGCGCAGGCGGGCGAUCAAGUUGGAAGUGAAAUCCAUGGGCUCAACCCAUGAACUGCUUUCAAAACUGAUUGUCUUGAGUAGUGCAGAGGUAGGCGGAAUUCCCGGUGUAGCGGUGGAAUGCGUAGAUAUCGGGAGGAACACCAGUGGCGAA
rnacentral:rRNA from 1 species